AUUGAACGCUGGCGGCAGGCUUAACACAUGCAAGUCGAGCGGGGUGAUGGUGCUUGCACUAUCACUUAGCGGCGGACGGGUGAGUAAUGCGUAGGAAUCUGUCUAUUAGUGGGGGACAACAUCUCGCAAGGGAUGCUAAUACCGCAUAGGUCCUGCGGGAGAUAGCAGGGGACCACCUGUGACCCUGCGGUAAUAGAUGAGCCUAAGUCGGAUUAGCUAGUUGGUGGGGUAAAGGCCUACCAAGGCGACGAGCUGUAGCGGGUCUGAGAGGAGGAUCCGCCACACUGGGACUUAGACACGGCCCAGACUCCUACGGGAGGCAGCAGUGGGGAAUAUUGGACAAUGGGGGGAACCCUGAUCCAGCCAUGCCGCGUGUGUGAAGAAGGCCUUAUGGUUGUAGAGCACUUUAAGCGAGGAGGAGGCUCUUUUGGUUAAUACCCAAGAUAAGUGGACGUUACACGCAGAAUAAGCACCGGCUAACUCUGUGCCAGCAGCCGCGGUAA
rnacentral:rRNA from 1 species